rnacentral:rRNA from 1 species
CCUACGGGAGGCAGCAGUGGGGAAUAUUGCACAAUGGGCGCAAGCCUGAUGCAGCAACGCCGCGUGAGGGACGACGGCCUUCGGGUUGUAAACCUCUUUUAGUAGGGAAGAAGCGAAAGUGACGGUACCUGCAGAAAAAGCACCGGCUAACUACGUGCCAGCAGCCGCGGUAAUACGUAGGGUGCAAGCGUUAUCCGGAAUUAUUGGGCGUAAAGAGCUCGUAGGCGGUUUGUCGCGUCUGCUGUGAAAACUGGAGGCUCAACCUCCAGCCUGCAGUGGGUACGGGCAGACUAGAGUGCGGUAGGGGAGAUUGGAAUUCCUGGUGUAGCGGUGGAAUGCGCAGAUAUCAGGAGGAACACCGACGGCGAAGGCAGAUCUCUGGGCCGUAACUGACGCUGAGGAGCGAAAGCAUGGGGAGCGAACAGGAUUAGAUACCCUGGUAGUCCAUGCCGUAAACGUUGGGAACUAGAUGUAGGGACCAUUCCACGGUUUUCUGUGUCGCNGCUACGACAUACGUUACCCGUCCGUCGGGUAGGUACGGCCGCGACGACGUAAACCUACAAUAGAAGUUAGACGGCGUGAGACGUGCCGACGGACGACCGACGAGGGAGGUAGG